GCAUCGAUGGUGUACGGAACACGCACCAGUAUAAUACGUCCCAGGACAGGUCCUUCUGGCAUUAUAAUGGUGAGGCGGGGUUCGACUCCCCCUCGGUGCA